AGAAGCACUCUAGCUACAGAUUAGAAUGAUGACAAGAGUAAUACCUUCCUAGUGAAGAUGACUUUUAUUUCAGGACUAUAUUAAGUUUCCCAACUUCUGUCAUGAUAUAGUCCAAAGAGAACCUGGACCACGCAGACAUCAAACAGAACAUGACACUGACCCAUUCUAUCAGUGACGUUGUGCUGAUUGCACAGGACAGAUGAGAGGCUCGUAUACUAGAAGUCUUGUUUCACAUGUCCACAGAUGAAGAAAAAUUGUGCCCCAGCAAGGAUUAUACCCAGAGCCUCAUCCAUUCAUACCUGAUUUAGAUACUUAGAUGAUGAGUAAUAGAAAAGGUGGUUAUCAAACCUGGGUCAAAGUUGAAUCACCUGAGGAUCUUUUAGAACAUACACAGUCAUAUGAUACUUCAAAAUCUGUGAUUCCAUGAAGCCAAGAGUAGCUCUUCAACAGGAAAUGAAUGAGUGCUUCAGCUUCUGAUCCCAUUAGUAAGAAAAUACAGUCUUAUGAGCAAUGAUGGAGCUGCAUCUCUUAGGGGCAUUUGAUUCCCAAGAGACCAAAGAGCAAAGAGAAUGUCAAUUUAAAAAAAUCAAAUGUUUCCAUGACUUAGCUAUUUAACUGCUUUAAAAUGAAUGAAUGCUGCUUCAAGUUCUUUCAAAUACCCCACAUCUUGGCAACAACGAAAGGAAUUAACAUGAAGAAAAUUUACAAUCUUUCAUCACAUCGAACAAUGUCCCACAUUUGAAAAGUUCACAGCACAGAUUUCUGGUUACUGAAAGAAAGGAAAGACCUUCUUUGGAUUUGAAUAAACAGAUGGACUUUCUUCUC
rnacentral:lncRNA from 1 species